rnacentral:rRNA from 1 species
UCAUUUAGAGGAAGUAAAAGUCGUAACAAGGUCUCCGUUGGUGAACCAGCGGAGGGAUCAUUAAAGAGUUGCAAAACUCCCAAACCAUUGUGAACUUACCUUCAACGUUGCUUCGGCGGGUUGGCCCCGGUCUCCGGGGUCCCCGGCCCUACUCGGGCGCCCGCCGGAGGUAUCUAACUCUUGAACUUUUAUGGCCUCUCUGAGUCUUUGUACUUAAUAAGUCAAAACUUUCAACAACGGAUCUCUUGGUUCUGGCAUCGAUGAAGAACGCAGCGAAAUGCGAUAAGUAACGUGAAUUGCAGAAUUCAGUGAAUCAUCGAAUCUUUGAACGCACAUUGCGCCCCCUGGUAUUCCGGGGGGCAUGCCUGUCCGAGCGUCAUUACAACCCUCAAGCUCAGCUUGGUAUUGGGCCCCGCCGACCCGGCGGGCCCUAAAGUCAGUGGCGGUGCCGUCCGGCUCCGAGCGUAGUAAUUCUUCUCGCUCUGGAGGUCCGGUCGUGUGCUCGCCAGCAACCCCCAAUUUUUUUCAGGUUGACCUCGGAUCAGGUAGGGAUACCCGCUGAACU